AUUGUUCUGCAACCUCGUUAUAGUUUUGAUAAGAUGAGCAAUUUCAACUGUAUAUUGUUUUGGUGUGACUCUGAUUAUUAUUAUGUUUGAGUUGAAGACUUGUAGUAUUCUGUUUUCGUUUGUUUCUUGUGUGUGGUGGCACUGGUAUUAACAGACUAACACUCUUCAUAUGAAAAGGCGAGUCCUUUCAACAAACCAAGAACAACACAAAGCAUUAUUAUUACAUCUCUGAUUGGUUGUGGUGUGGGUUCUGUUCAUAUUUUGCUUGAGAUUGCUCUGCUUAUUUGAAGACCCUUUUUUUCUUAUCUCAGGUUGAUGGAGUCAGGGUUGCUUCCAGCUGCAGAGGCAAAGAAAGUUCUUGAGAAGAAAUUGCAAAAGACUGGAAAGUUCAGUUCUCCAACAAAAUCUGCAGCUUCCACCCCAAGAACGGCUUCUUCUACCCCAAGAAGUACCAGCUCCAAAUCUGUAGUGACCGAGAAGAAGGAAGUUAAAAAACCAGCAUCUGAAGCUUUGUCAGGCAGAAAGAAAGGAAAUGAUUCGAAGAAGCGGAAGAAGGAUUCUGAUUCUGAUUCUGAUGAUGAUGAUGAUGAUUUCGUGGCUAGCAGAGUCUCUAAUAAGAAGGCAAGAGCCAAGUAGUUGGAAAUUUAAAACACUCAGAAAUCUCAGUUGUGUGAUUUGAAACAAUCUAAUUGUGUGUUUCAGGACUUAAUUUGUUGAACCCCUCGAAAUUGAAUUCUGUAUAAGAGUAAUGGCAGAGUUUUGUUUCUAGUCUAUUUAACUGGCUCAUUCUUCAGGUGUUCUCUUUCACCAUUGGUAACUCUAGUUAUUUUAUCAAAACCUUAAUGUGUGUGUUCCUUUGUACACUUUUCUAAACUCUUAUUAUAAGAGUUGUUGAUGAUGAACCUUUUAUUAAAAAUGAUUUAACUUGAAGUUGGUUGGAUUGUGAAACUUUUGAAUAUGUGAUAAAUCUUUUUGCCAACGAUGGUUUGUAAUGGUAUAGGUAUAUAUUGACUCUACAAAGAGAAGACAACACGUAAGCAUUGAAAUCAGAAUUCACAUGUAAGUUUGUUUGUUUUGUUGAUUAGGUGUUUGGAGAGCUCUUCUGAUAGACUUGGAAGAAAACCUUCAAUCAAAAACGAGAUAAAUAUGAGUUUUAUAAUCUAAACAAUUCAUCAUCAUCAUCAGAUUCAGAGCAAGAGUAAAACGAGAUAGAUUCAGAGCAAGAGUAGAACGAUUCAUCACAGAUUUACAAAACUGGAUCGAAGCUAAAAGCCAAAAACCCACAACAUAGAAACGAGAUGGAUGAUCGAAUCAUGAAACAUACCUGAAAUCGCGAGAAGAAAAAGUAGAAAAUGGAGAAAUCUUGUACGGAUUAAGAGAAUCAAAGCCGGAGAAGACGAAUCGAGAAGCAAAGAUCGAUUUUGCCAGACCGAUCGAGAAGAAAAGUCGAAAAGAAUCGCAAAAUAUUUUUUCCCCAAAUUGACUAAACUCUAGAAAUCAAGUGUUUUGGGCCAACCCAACAUCCAUUUGAUUUGGACCAGUUAACCCAUGGACAAAGUAGGUCUUUAGCCCAGUUAGACCAAAAGUUAUUUGGGUAUUACCAUCACCUACCCAUAUUUGUUUUGAAUGGGUGAACCCAUGAGUGGCCCAACCAAUUGACACCCCUAGUUUGAGCAAACCAUAGAAGGUCUCUAAUUCACAACCGGCUAGAUCCUUCUUGUAAGCGGUGCACCUCGUAGUUUAUACACCAAACAGAUUGAAUUAUUAUUAUUUACAUAUUUCUGCUUUAAUCGAAUUUAAAUUCAAAAUUUUAAUAAUUUAGACCACCUUAUAUAUAAUUUUAAGAAGUAAAUAUAGAUUAAUUAAGAAAAGGCCUAACAUUAUUAAGAUACAAAUACAUGUGAAAGUUUGAAAUAAUCUAUUUAAUGAAAAAAAUAUACCGUACACUUAUUAUGUCUUAAAAAUUGAUAGAUAUAUAUAUAUAUAUAUAAUAUAUACCAAUUUAAAAUUGAAAACAAAAUGUUUAUAUAAAAAUAAACAAAAACAAAAACUCCUGCGGUUGCGCGAGCCAAGAUCUAUUUAUGAUUAAAGAAAAGCAUUUUUGUGGUCCGCUUUAGGCGCUAUACGAAUCACAGACCGGCACUGAUCACAGAUUCACAGUAGACAAACUCUAACAUAACUAACCUUCAUAACGCACACGUACUGUUUCUUGUAUCACUUCACAAACUAAUACAAAACACCCUAUAUCUCCAAUCUCUCCAUUUUUUUACUAUGUACGUGAGCCCAUGACAAUAUCUUGAAAACCACAUCUUCCAUACUAAUAUCAUAACGUGUUUGGUAACGAGGAGAAUAAAAGAGCUCCACUAAGUUGCCAUUUACAAGAUUAAUUCUAAGUUCUAACAGAUAAGUCAGUCAAUAAACUCCACAGCCUCUGCAUGUUUCACUGAAAAAUAGUACUGAGGAAACAAAACUGACUUCACACUUCUUGGUGUCUUCCAUAAAUGUUCGAGAACAUUACAGCGUUCUUAAGUUUGGUGUGUCAAAUUAUAUGAACGUCACCACAACGAAAUCCGAUUAAUUGACAUUAUUAGAAAAAUUAAUUCUAAUCAAGAUUUGUUUGCUAGCAAAUAUAUGUAAUAUUAUAUCUCGAAGUUGUAUAUAAUCAUGAAACCUCAGUAAGAAGCUCGAUCCAUACAAGCUCAAGCUUCUUCUUACACCACACCUGAUGGAAGACGAAGAACAAGCUGUCCACCCAUUAAACUGUUUCCGAAAAACAGACAGAAGUUCCAAGUCUUUAGGCAUUCAAAGGUUUUCAACAAUAGUGUCUAUAAUUAACAUCCUUCAUUAAUUUUGUUUUACCUCUGGACAUAGUAAUAACAGAAAUCUGCAAGAAUGAAGGUUUGGACGAUUUCAGAGAGAAGGACCAUUAUAGGCCAUAAUCCAUAUCCUAAUGCAGUCAGUAACCGCCCUCCCGAAUCCAACACCUACACGCACCGUUUCAUAUAAUCUUUCAGAAGCUGUAAUGCGAUAAAAACGAUGAUUAAAAGAGUUUAUAUUAAAAUGUAACUCUCAAGAACCUGAAGGAUCCAGUGUGCACAACUCAAGAACCUAGCGAUUCCCAAAGCAAAAACGUAGUGUGCUGUGAAUGGUUCCACAAUCUGAGAAUAUAUGUAAGACAUCAACAUUCGAAGAAGAUUCAGAGACAACGUGAUUUUAAUUUUAUUUAAAAACAAAGCAGAUAAAUGAUUAAUUAAGACCUGCGUGUUCUGCAUCACUCUUAACUGAGGAAGAACUGAAACAGCUUCAAGAUAAACACAGAACGCCCAGAAGAGCCUGUUUAUGAUGUGGUGACGCGUGGAUGGAUGAAUGAGGAGAGAUACAACAGCACAUGGGACUACCUGGUGCAAACAAACCAAAUAUUAAAAUGGAGUCAAGAUUGUUACUAAUAAUCAAUCAUAUAAUCAAUGAUUAAGCGAGUGUUUAAUACCGAGAUCCUAACAAAAUAAAUAACAUGCACGUAGAGUCAGAACGAAGAGAGAGCCUUUAAGCAUAUGAUUGGCCUCGACCUACCGUUAAAUCUAAGAUAACUACUCAAAGACAAAAGGAGAAACAAAGAGUUUGGUAACUUUACAACGUAGUAGAUGGGGAAGUUGUCUUUGUCUUCCAUAUAAGUGGGCCUAAGCUUGAGACGUAUCAUAUAGAUGACCCAAAGCGUCGUGACCAACGUAGCAGAAUCAAGUAACGUGUGAAGAUCAAAUUCCAUUACAAAGCUGCAAUACAGCCGCACGGCAAGAAACAGAGCCGUUAGCUCCUGCGACUUGAGAGAGAUCCCUGUUGAAUGAUUUCAUCAAAAAUGAUUAGAACUAACAACAAAGGCAUCCUAAUUAAUUAUCCAAUAUAAUCAAAAUGUAAUAUAACCAGCGCAAGUCUUCUCCUUGGUAAGCUUGUAGAUGAGAAGGGAGAUGCCGAGGGCAUGGACAGCCUCGGAAGCGAUGAAAAGGUUGUCGUGCUCAUGGACAAUGACCUUGAGGAAGACGAGCACCGUCAUUGCCGUAACCACUGCAAAAAACGCCUUUACCUUGGGAGGCUGCCGGCGAAUCCACGACAUCACGCACUGAAUCGGACUCUUCUCCGCCUUCAUCGUUCUGAUUCUCUCCACAGACACACAAAUUCUCUCUCUCUCUCUCUGAUUAAUAGUAAUGAUAUGCCACACAAUUAUCAACUUCGUUUUCAAUGGGAAACGAAUCUGCAUGUCUUAACGAAAGACACUUCUUUUGCGAAGAGGACACGUGGGGGGAAGCUAGAGUUGCUGUUUAGUUUCUGUUUUUUUUCGAACGACUUGACUUGCAGCUACGUCUCUCUUUUCCGGAUUAGAACUAUUGGUUUACUUCGGCAAAACUCAAUUUUACCGGGUUCUUCUUUAAACCGGCUAAUUGCGGUUCGAUUCAACUAAUUAAUGUUUUCCUUUUCGGUUUAGAAGACGCCGUGUGAAGUUAAAGUUCCCUUUGUUUCGGAUUAGACUAUUGGUUUAUUUCGGAAAAAAACUCUAUUGUACCGGGUUCUUCUUUGAACCGGCUAAUUUCGGUUCGAUUCAAGUAAUUAAUGAUUUUCCUUUCUGGUUUAGAAGAUUUAAAACGACGCCGUUUUGAAUUAGGGCAUAACUGACCAAGGAGAGACACCGGAAACACACAACAGCGGUUUCGUUAUCAAAUCCCCCCCCCCCCCCGGAAACACACAACAGCGGUUUCAUUCUCAAAUCUGCCCCCAAGCUUGUUGGUAGAAGGAGAAGAAGAUGACGUCGGAUGAUGCCAAAGCUCUGAAGAAAGAGGAGGAUGAGGACGACAACAAGAGCUUGGGUUCAUUGGCUAGGAAGAAGCCGUCCACAAACGCCAACAAUGCAGGUUCGUCAGCUUCGAGGAAACUGAAGAAGGACGACGAUGAUGAUGAUGAUGAUGAUGAUAACAAACCCAUCAAGUCAUCUUUAUCUGGGUCUCGUCCAAAGCCUGUUAAGAAGAAGGAGAUUGAUCAAGACGACGACGACGAUGAGAAGCCUCUUUCCAAGAGGAAUUCCUCUGUUGUUGGCGUCUCAAAGGUUCGUUCUUUUCUCUUCUCUUUCGCUGUCUGAUUAUAGUUUCUUAAAGAUGAGAUUGUGUUGGUGUCUUUAGGAGAAAGAGUUGAAGAAAAAGAAGAUGGAGAAAGAGAAAGAAGAAGAAGAGGCAAAGAAGAAGAAGAAGACAGUGAAAGAAGAAGGAGAAGUGAAGAAGAAGAAGGAGAAGAAAGUGUAUGAUUUGCCUGGUCAGAAGAGAGACCAACCUGACGAGGUGUCUUUUAUUCUGAUUUGUGGCUAAUUCUUUGUUUUUUUAAAGAACUUACAUUGUUGGUUUUUUCUUGUAAUUUCCGCAGAGAGAUCCACUUAGGAUUUUCUACGAGUCACUUCACAAGCAAGUCCCAACUAGCGAAAUGGCUAAGAUUUGGUGAGGCCUUUCUAUUCAUUCCUUUGUGUGCCUAUAGUUUUGAUAAGAUGAGCAGUUUCAAAUGUAUAUUGUUUUGGUGUGACUCUGAUUAUUAUUAUGUUUGAGUUGAAGACUUGUAGUCUUCUCUUCUCGAUUGUCUCUUGUGUGUGGUGGCAUUGGCAUUAAAGCUCUCAUGCAAUUCUUAACUUCAUUUAACAGACUAACAUUGUUCAUAAGGAAAGGCGAGUCCUUUCAACAAACCAACAACAAUACAAAGCAUUAUUAUUAUUACAUCUCUGAUUGGUUGUGGUGUGGGUUCUGUUCAUCGUUUGCUCUGCUUAUUUGAAGACCCUUUUUUGCUUAUCUCCAGGUUGAUGGAGUCAGGGUUGCUUCCAGCUGCAGAGGCAAAGAAAGUUCUUGAGAAGAAGUUGCAAAAGACUGGAAAGUUCAGCUCUCCAGCAAAACCUGCAGCUUCCACCCCAAGAAGCGUCUCCAAAUCAGCAGUGGCCGAGAAGAAGGAUGUUAAAAAACCAGCAUCUGAAGCUUUGUCUGGCAAAAAGAA
rnacentral:lncRNA from 1 species